CAGUACCAAUGAAAUGAAAUGAUGUGUGAAAGAUUAUGAAAUGAGCCUUAAUUGAAUUGUUCUAAAUUGACUCUGAAAAUAGAAUUGCCUAAAAGCUUAUGUACUCAAGUCAUGUCCAAAGGUUGUUCUAACUAAUGCUAUGCUUGGUAGGUAUUUCCAAUAUUUUGAGUUCUUACAUAUUCAUAAGUUGAAAUUGUGUAUUGCCCUUUUGGGGAAAGGUAUUUCAAGAAUAAUAGGGUUUCACUCGAUUAAGAUUUUAACUUGUGCUUCGAUUGCCAAUCAUUCUGCUUAUUUUUUUGGAAAGAAAUCCACUGUGUUUAAAGACUUCAUUACUAAUGAAUUUAGAGUUAUGAUUUCUAGAAUAUUCUAUAUGUUGAUAUUUAUGAUGAUGAUCCUUGAAAGUAAAGAAAUGAAAGUGUGAAAUAUAAGAUACAACCAUCGUGCCAUGAAUAAAGAAUCAUAUGUAUGGCCAAUGGAGCCAAUGAAAUAAUGAUGUUCUGAGCGGCUGAAAGUACUAAUGAAGUGACAUAUGGUGUGAAAGGUUAUGAGAUGAACGUAUUUGUACUUCUGUUUUCAAUGCGUUAUAAGAUCAUAUUCCCUCAUGAGAAGAGGAUACAGUGUUCCUAAAUAUUAUAAAUGCUAUUAAUGUCUUAUGAUCACCCAUGGCAAGUACAAGCAAGUGAUAGUAUCAACAUGAAAUAUGGCUGCUUGCCAAAAUAAGAAUUAUGAGUCAUUGUAUAUUCCAAUAGUUUCAAUCAUAGUAUGUAAAAAGGCAGCUCAGUGCACUAAGCACCCGCUGUGUUCGGGGUUAGAAAAGGGUCGGACCACAAGGGUCUAUCGUAAGCAGCCUUACCCUACAUUUAUGCAAGAGGUUGUUUCUACGGCUCGAACUCGUGACCUCCUGGUCACUUGGCAACAACUUUAACUAGUUACACCAAGGCUCCCCUUCUCAAUCAUAGUAUGUAUGCAUCUAAAAUAAUAAAUGCAAAUGGCUUCGAUGUUAAGUCCUCAAGAAUCAUGAUCUUAGAUAAUUACCUUAAGAUGAUAAGAGGGUACAUUCGAGAGAUGUACUACACUAAAUGAUGAUGAAUCUUUGGAAAAAUAAUUUGGGCCAUGUGCCAAUGAAAUCGACUUAUUGAUUCACCAUAUUGUGUUUNNNNNNNNNNNNNNNUGUANAUUGCCCUUUUGGGGAAAGGUACUUCAAGAAUAUUCUCUAUGUUGAUAUUUAUAAUGAUGAGCCUUGAAAGUAAUGAAAUGAAAGUAUGGAAUAUGAGAUACGGCCAUCGUGCCAUGAAUGAAGAAUAAUAUGUAUGGAAAAAGGGAUCGAAUGAAAUAAUGAUGUUGUAAAUAGUUGAAAGUACUAAUGAAGUGAUAGUAUGAACAUGAAAUGUGGUCGUUUGCCUAAAUGAAAUUUAUGAGGUGUUGUAUGUCCUAAUGGUUUCAACUAUAGUUGUAUGCUUCUGAAAUAAUAUAUGUAAAUGACUUUGAUGUCAAGUCAUCAAGAAUCAUGAACUUAGCUAAUGAACUCAAGAUGUCAAGUGAGUGAAUAUUGAGAUGAAAGGAAGAUGUCCUAUGCUAAAUGAUGAUGAACCUUAAGAAAAUAAAUUGGGCUCAUGUGCCAUUGAAAUUGACUUAUUGAUUCACCAUGCAUGUGCUAACGUAAUG
rnacentral:lncRNA from 1 species